rnacentral:rRNA from 1 species
GAUGAACGCUGGCGGCGUGCCUAACACAUGCAAGUCGAGCGAGAAGCCAUAAAAGGACACUUCGGUAGAAUUAUAUGGCGGAAAGCGGCGGACGGGUGAGUAACGCGUGGGAAACCUGCCUUUCACAGAGGGAUAGCCGAAGGAAACUACGAUUAAUACCUCAUAAAGCAAAAGCUUCGCAUGGAGCGAUUGCCAAAGAAUAAUCGGUGAAAGAUGGUCCCGCGUCUGAUUAGUUAGUUGGUAAGGUAGCGGCUUACCAAGGCGACGAUCAGUAGCCGGCCUGAGAGGGUGAACGGCCACAUUGGAACUGAGACACGGUCCAGACUCCUACGGGAGGCAGCAGUGGGGGAUAUUGCACAAUGGGCGAAAGCCUGAUGCAGCAACGCCGCGUGAAGGAAGAAGGCUU